AACGAGUUUGGAACAAGCUGUUAACAACUUUUAACAAGCUUGAUGGCAUUAUCAGACUUGUGACAAGGUUGUUCCAACAAGCCUGAUACAGUCAUGAUAUAACAAGAAUGUUACAAGGUUGAUCACACAAGGUUGUAACAAUAUUGUUAUAUCAUGAUUGUAUCGGACUUGUUCGAACAACCUUGCAACAAGUCUGAUAGUAUCAACAAGGUUGUUACAAGUUGUUAACAGCUUAUUCCAAACUUGUU
rnacentral:miRNA from 1 species